rnacentral:rRNA from 1 species
CGAGACGGGAUGGAAUGACCCUUCGGGGGAAUGAAAUCCUAGAAAGUGGCGAACGGGUGAGUAACGCGUGGGUAACCUGCCCUAUGGAAAGGAAUAGCCUCGGGAAACUGGGAGUAAUGCCUUAUAAUAUACGAGAGUCGCAUGGCUUUUGUAUUAAACGCUCCGGUGCCAUAGGAUGGACCCGCGUCCCAUUAGCUAGUUGGUGAGAUAACAGCCCACCAAGGCAACGAUGGGUAACCGGUCUGAGAGGGCGAACGGUCACACUGGAACUGAGACACGGUCCAGACUCCUACGGGAGGCAGCAGUGGGGAAUAUUGCGCAAUG